rnacentral:rRNA from 1 species
ACGGUUACCUUGUUACGACUUCACCCCAGUUAUCAGACCUGCCUUCGGCGGCUCCUCCCUUUGCAGGUUAGGUCACCGACUUCGGGCAUUUCCAACUCCCAUGGUGUGACGGGCGGUGUGUACAAGACCCGGGAACAUAUUCACCGCAGCAUUCUGAUCUGCGAUUACUCGCGAUUCCAGCUUCAUGUAGUCGAGUUGCAGACUACAAUCCGAACUGAGACGUUAUUUUUGGGAUUUGCUCCAUUUCACAAUCUCGCUUCCCUUUGUUUACGCCAUUGUAGCACGUGUGUAGCCCUGGCCAUAAGGGGCAUGAUGAUUUGACGUCAUCCCCGCCUUCCUCCGGGUUAUCCCCGGCAGUCUCCCUACACUUCCCAUCUUACUGCUGGCUACUAAGGAUAGGGGUUGCGCUCGUUGCG